GGUGUAAUGGUGUAAUGGUAGCACGUGACGUUGUGGUUUUCCGGAAGGAUUAUACAUGCAGUUACCCGUUUCAAUCCCGGUUCGAUUCCGGGUUACGCCA
rnacentral:tRNA from 1 species